GACGAACGCUGGCGGCGUGCUUAACACAUGCAAGUCGAACGGUAAGGCCCCAGCUUGCUGGGGUACACGAGUGGCGAACGGGUGAGUAACACGUGGGUGACCUGCCCCGCACUUCGGGAUAAGCCCGGGAAACUGGGUCUAAUACCGGAUACGACCGCACUGUGCGGGGGUGGUGGAAAGUUUUUCGGUGUGGGAUGGGCCCGCGGCCUAUCAGCUUGUUGGUGGGGUAGUGGCCUACCAAGGCGGCGACGGGUAGCCGGCCUGAGAGGGUGGACGGCCACAUUGGGACUGAGACACGGCCCAGACUCCUACGGGAGGCAGCAGUGGGGAAUAUUGCACAAUGGGCGGAAGCCUGAUGCAGCGACGCCGCGUGGGGGAUGACGGCCUUCGGGUUGUAAACUCCUUUCACCAUCGACGAAGGUUUUCUGACGGUAGAUGGAGAAGAAGCACCGGCUAACUACGUG
rnacentral:rRNA from 1 species